UACAGAGGGUGCAAGCGUUAAUCGGAAUUACUGGGCGUAAAGCGCGCGUAGGUGGUUUGGUAAGUCGGAUGUGAAAUCCCCGGGCUUAACCUGGGAAUUGCAUUCGAUACUGCCUGACUCGAGUGUGGAAGAGGGAAGCGGAAUUUCCGGUGUAGCGGUGAAAUGCGUAGAUAUCGGAAGGAACACCAGUGGCGAAGGCGGCUUCCUGGUCCAACACUGACACUGAGGCGCGAAAGCGUGGGUAGCGAACAGGAUUAGAUACCCUGGUAGUCCACGCCGUAAACGAUGAGAACUAGAUGUUGGAGGGUUUAACCCUUCAGUGUCGCAGCUAACGCGUUAAGUUCUCCGCCUGGGGAGUACGGCCGCAAGGUUGAA
rnacentral:rRNA from 1 species